rnacentral:rRNA from 1 species
AGUGAAAGAGAACUUGAAACCGUGUGCUUACAAGUAGUCAGAGCCCGUUAAUGGGUGAUGGCGUGCCUUUUGUAGAAUGAACCGGCGAGUUACGAUCUGAUGCAAGGUUAAGCAGCAAAUGUGGAGCCGCAGCGAAAGCGAGUCUGAAUAGGGCGUUGAGUAUUUGGUCGUAGACCCGAAACCAGGUGAUCUACCCUUGGUCAGGUUGAAGUUCAGGUAACACUGAAUGGAGGACCGAACCGA